UACGUAGGCAGCAAGCGUUGUUCGGAAUUACUGGGCGUAAAGAGUGUGUAGGCGGUGCUCUAAGUUCGGUGUGAAAUCUCCCGGCUCAACUGGGAGGGUGCGCCGAAAACUGGAGUGCUCGAGCGUGGGAGAGGAAAGCGGAAUUCCUGGUGUAGCGGUGAAAUGCGUAGAUAUCAGGAGGAACACCAGCGGUGUAGACGGCUUUCUGGACCAUUGCUGACGCUGAGACACGAAAGCGUGGGUAGCAAACAGG
rnacentral:rRNA from 1 species